rnacentral:rRNA from 1 species
AUUGAACGCUGGCGGCAUGCUUUACACAUGCAAGUCGAACGGUAACAGGUCUUCGGAUGCUGACGAGUGGCGAACGGGUGAGUAAUGCAUCGGAACGUGCCCAGUCGUGGGGAUAACGCAGCGAAAGCUGCGCUAAUACCGCAUACGAUCUAUGGAUGAAAGCGGGGGACCGUAAGGCCUCGCGCGAUUGGAGCGGCCGAUGUCAGAUUAGGUAGUUGGUGGGGUAAAGGCCCACCAAGCCAACGAUCUGUAGCUGGUCUGAGAGGACGACCAGCCACAAUGGGACUGAGACACGGCCCAGACUCCUACGGGAGGCAGCAGUGGGGAAUUUUGGACAAUGGGCGCAAGCCUGAUCCAGCAAUGCCGCGUGCAGGAAGAAGGCCUUCGGGUUGUAAACUGCUUUUGUACGGAACGAAACGGCCCUUUCUAAUACAGGGGGCUAAUGACGGUACCGUAAGAAUAAGCACCGGCUAACUACGUGCCAGCCGCCGCUGUAACAC